rnacentral:rRNA from 1 species
UUGUGAAAAUGCUGGCCCCUGAAUUGGCUCAGCUCCCCACACUUUAAGCCUCUCUUUUAUAGAGAAGAAGACCCGCAGGUUUCCACAAAAUAGCCUUUGUAAAAAAAGGGGCGCAGUGAAUGUAAUACGACUCACUAUAGGGCGAAUUGAAUUUAGCGGCCGCGAAUUCGCCCUUAACACAUGCAAGUCGAGCGGCAGCGACUUAACUGAACCUUCGGGGAACGUUAAGGGCGGCGAGCGGCGGACGGGUGAGUAAUGCCUGGGAAUAUGCCCUGAUGUGGGGGAUAACUAUUGGAAACGAUAGCUAAUACCGCAUAAUCUCUUCGGAGCAAAGAGGGGGACCUUCGGGCCUCUCGCGUCAGGAUUAGCCCAGGUGGGAUUAGCUUGUUGGUGAGGUAAUGGCUCACCAAGGCAACGAUCCCUAGCUGGUCUGAGAGGAUGAUCAGCCACACUGGAACUGAGACACGGUCCAGACUCCUACGGGAGGCAGCAGUGGGGAAUAUUGCACAAUGGGGGAAACCCUGAUGCAGCCAUGCCGCGUGUAUGAAGAAGGCCUUCGGGUUGUAAAGUACUUUCAGUAGGGAGGAAGGCAGUGUCGUUAAUAGCGGCAUUGUUUGACGUUACCUACAGAAGAAGCACCGGCUAACUCCGUGCCAGCAGCCGCGGUAAUACGGAGGGUGCGAGCGUUAAUCGGAAUUACUGGGCGUAAAGCGCAUGCAGGCGGUCUGUUAAGCAAGAUGUGAAAGCCCGGGGCUCAACCUCGGAACAGCAUUUUGAACUGGCAGACUAGAGUCUUGUAGAGGGGGGUAGAAUUUCAGGUGUAGCGGUGAAAUGCGUAGAGAUCUGAAGGAAUACCGGUGGCGAAGGCGGCCCCCUGGACAAAGACUGACGCUCAGAUGCGAAAGCGUGGGGAGCAAACAGGAUUAGAUACCCUGGUAGUCCACGCCGUAAACGAUGUCUACUGGAAGCAAUGCAGACC